rnacentral:sRNA from 10 species
ACACCGAUGCUUUAAGCAUUGGGAUCAUAAUAAUGAUGAAAUUCCUCUUUGACGGGCCAAUAGAAAUAUUGGCCAUUUUUUU